UCUGAGAGCGGUGCUGGGCGCUCCGGGACUGGACAUAAAAAGAGAGCAAGCGCAGGGCUGGGCGCGCUUGCCGCUGCCCUUUUAACCCACUUUGCGAGAGCGGCUAGCCGGGCCUGAGGAGCUCGUGCUCGCUGCGGCGCGCGCCUGGGGGUGGGGGGUGAAGUUGUGAGGUUCCACGGGUGGGCGGAGACAGAACGCGGAGACCCUGCUGAAGCGGCGGCACGAGGGGGAGGAGCCCGGGCAGGGAGCUGCGGCUGCUGCAGUGUCCUAGGACCAGCCGCGGCGUCGGCGGCAGGUAGUGGCAUGUGCUGGAGGGAUCUGCAGUGUGGUUGACAUUCUGUGGUGCUUCCUCUUGAUUUUCUUCACGACAGGAGAGGAGCGAAUUUUCUGGGAAGCGUAUGUUACCCAAACUAGUUACCAGAAUUUAUACCUGGUUGGAGAUGGAGACCUGUGAAUGAAGCAUGUCUAGCGGGGCCUUUCCAUAAAGAAGAGCAAUGCAGUCAUCUUUUGCUCAACAUGAUUGGGAAAACAGUCGCUGCAGUGGAGAGCUCUCUGAAGAACCUGAGAGGAUUUGAAGCAGUUGCACAAGUCACUUUUGGAUUUUUGAAAAUGACUGGGAGCAGAGGGGAAGAAUGGAAAAGAAGCAAACACUAAUAUGAAACAUACCCACAAAUGUUGAAAAUGAACAAUUUUUUUCAUUUUGAACAAAAGCAAUUUUAAAUGAAAAUUUUCAUCCAAAAAAUGUUGACCUGCUCUGCAAAUGAGCUUUAAUCACUUCAUUCUCUACAUUUCUACAGGUAAUAUGAGACUAGGAAGGAGUGGGGGGGGGCGGGGUGUGUGUGUGCGCGCACACACACACACCCCCUCUCUCCCUUUUGAAGUAUGUACAUUGGGGUGACCUGUACUCCAGUAGCCGUUAGUCCCUACAAAAUACCAUAUAUCUGCAUAUAAACUGACACAUAGGCCAGAAUUUCAGGCCUACUCUUUGGAAGUUGUCUUAUUCAUGGAUUGGAGAGGGGCCCUGAAUAGGGGUAUGCACUAGCAAGAGCUUUUUGAGGGUGCCUUACAAUCAAACUGGAGAAAUAAAUGCCACUGGCACUAUGGAGCAGCUAGUCUGGUCAGAGUUGUAAAACAAAGUGUUUGUUUAUAAACUCCAUCCUUUCAACCCAAGCCAGACCAAAAGUAAUGGCAAUGUCCCCAAUCAAUAGUCAGGGCCAUCCUAAGAGGUACCUUUCCUCACCAAGCAAUUUCAAGCAAAAGCCUGACUAUCCAAAUGGGAUUUGCAGUGUUUACAAAACUUAAACUGGGGCUUUGGCCGCACAGGUGGUAGCCAAAUUGGGGGUGUGUGUAAUUUUAUGUCAAAAUUUUGACUAGCUUUAUUUAUUGGACCAAAGGGGAAAGCAAAUUUCAGACUGGGAAUCUCUCCCCUGAAGGGGCCAUGCUGCUUGCUCCCAGGCAUUGAAAAUCGGGGAGCUGUAAAUAUGAUGUGUGGGGAAUUUGCAUAAGCUGGCAUGCAAAUUAACAAGAUGGUGACCGUACUGGUAUUAGAAAGCAGAGCUCCACAGUCAUGGCACAAAGCUGCUGAAAUAGCAAGAUCCUUCUGCACCCUGGAGAACAUCCAUCAAACUAUUCUUGUGGGAGGAAAUUAAUGGAGAUAACCCCUAGAUUUUUUUUAAAAAGUUAAAAGGUAAAUUCUUAUUGCAAGAUUAGGUAGAGGUUGAUCAGCAUGACUCUAGCAGUUACUGGGUUAAAGUAUCUAUGAUGUUAGUGAAUUGUGCCAGAACAUCUCACUUCAGUAAGAAAGAUUCAAGUUCACAUUUUUUGAUACUUCCAUUUGCAUAUUCUGACACUUUAAAAUGCUCUUAUUACCGUGUUACCAGACACACACGAUGACUGUCAAAGAGGAACUACACAAAUACUGCAAAAAUUAAUGAAGAGGAACUGUUUUAAGGAUCUCCAAAGCAGCAACUGAAUACAUGAGAAGAAUUGAAAGGGACCUUAUGUCAGUAGCUAAUUGGCAUAGUUGAGGUACACACACUCUCCACAGCAUGCCCGCUCCCUAUACCAAGGUGGGAAUGCAGCGGCUGAAUACAGGAGCCAGCUCCAUCACCUACAGCAGCUUUAUGCUAGCAGGGAACUCACUUCCACAAGCAGAAUGAUGCAAAAAGGCCAGAACAGACUGGAGAAUCCAGCUCUGUCACUCUCGAGGCAAUGAUAUCUGGUUGCAACUGGGUCCUUUGAGUCGGGAGCCCAGGUUCUGCCCCUGAGUCUCGCACUCACUGACUUCUGUCAUCUUGAACACACCACAAAGGCAUACAUUUUCAAAAGUUUUCACGAAUUUUAUUGUUGACACCCAAUUUGAGCCACUUACUGCCUGAUUUUUUGGAGAUGCUCAAAACCCCCAACCCCAGCUAAUGUCAACUAGAACAGCUGGUGCUCCGCACCCUUGAAAAUUGGGCUUUGGGGUCUCGAGCUGGGCAAGCAAAUAUAGGGGACAGUUUUAAAAAAAGAAAAAGGGAAAAAAAAAAAAGUGUGUGUGUAUAUGUGUAUAUAAUAUGGCCCAAACCUGCUUGCUGUGUUUUAUGAGUGGACCCCCUGGACCUGUGCACAGUCCUAUUGAAUUCAGUUGGGAUCUGCAGGUUCAGGGCCGGAGAGCUUAACCUGUCUGCUUGAAUUUAUCCCACUUGUGAAAUGGGGAGAAUGACACAUUCCCAGCUUUAUAAAGCCUUUUGAUAUCUUCAAAUGAGAGACUCUAUAUAAACACAAUUAUUUAAUUUAUAACAAACAUGAGGAUUUUGAAGGAUUUUUAAAUUACUGUUAACACUCAGCUGUUGAGCUAUAUAAAUAGCAGGUUUUAUUUCUAAAAUAUUUUUGCUUCUGGUAGGUUUGUGCAUUGUGAGAUUUUAUAAGUUUAUGGGAUAAAAGAACAUUUAAUUUUUCCCUGGUGGAUCUGGGAUAGAAGCACUCUUGGAAAUACUUUCAAUGUAAUGACUGAUAAUCCAUCUGGGCUGUGGGUGGUAUGAAAAGCAUUGCCAGCUCUGUGUGUAUCAGGCAUCCUUAUGUCAGUGAGAUAAGUCACCUCCUCCAAAAUGUCUUGUAAUGGAGUUUGGGCUAGAUUCUCAGCAGGGGCAAAUUAGUGUGGCUCUAUUCAAGUCAAUUAAUCUAUGCAAAUUUAUACCAGCUGAGCAUCUGGCCCUUUGUCUUUACCAUCUUCAGUUGUCUCUACCAGAAGUGCUUACUACUAAAUUAAUUAUUGCACAUUCAAAAGCCAGAUAAAUUGAGUAGUCUGUUUUCUGUCAUUUUUAAAUUUGUUGCUUUUCAGUAUAAUUGAAUAUCCCCUUGUCCUUGCAUUAUCUGAAUAGAUAACUAGAAGUGUUGGAUUUCCCCUCUCUUUAACAUUCAUUAUUGUAUCUCCUCCUCUUUUUCACCUUUCUGAAGGACAGUCCCACUUGUUUCAGUCUCUUCAUAUGGCCUGUGAUGGGAUGUUAAAUGGGGUGGGAUCUGAGUUACCCAGGAAAGAA